rnacentral:tRNA from 1 species
GUGCCUGUAGCUCAGUUGGUUAGAGCGUCUGGUUGUGGCCCAGAAGGUCGUCGGUUCGAACCCGAUCAGGCACCCCA